rnacentral:rRNA from 2 species
CUUCCGUAGGGUGAACCUGCGGAAGGAUCAUUACCGAGUGUAGGGUUCCUAGCGAGCCCAACCUCCCACCCGUGUUUACUGUACCUUAGUUGCUUCGGCGGGCCCGCCAUUCAUGGCCGCCGGGGGCUCUCAGCCCCGGGCCCGCGCCCGCCGGAGACACCACGAACUCUGUCUGAUCUAGUGAAGUCUGAGUUGAUUGUAUCGCAAUCAGUUAAAACUUUCAACAAUGGAUCUCUUGGUUCCGGCAUCGAUGAAGAACGCAGCGAAAUGCGAUAACUAGUGUGAAUUGCAGAAUUCCGUGAAUCAUCGAGUCUUUGAACGCACAUUGCGCCCCCUGGUAUUCCGGGGGGCAUGCCUGUCCGAGCGUCAUUGCUGCCCAUCAAGCACGGCUUGUGUGUUGGGUCGUCGUCCCCUCUCCGGGGGGGACGGGCCCCAAAGGCAGCGGCGGCACCGCGUCCGAUCCUCGAGCGUAUGGGGCUUUGUCACCCGCUCUGUAGGCCCGGCCGGCGCUUGCCGAACGCAAAUCAAUCUUUUCCAGGUUGACCUCGGAUCAGGUAGGGAUACCCGCUGAACUUAAGCAUAUCAAUAAGCGGAGGAA